rnacentral:lncRNA from 1 species
AUGAAAAUUGCCCAGCAGUUCUUCCAGUUGGUGGGCGGAUCUGCAAGUGAAUGCGAUACAAUACCAGGGAGGCAGUGUAUGGCUUCCUGUUUCUUCCUGCUUAAGCAAUUUGAUGAUGUCUUGAUUUAUCUCAACUCAUUUAAGAGUUACUUCUAUAAUGAUGACAUCUUUAAUUUUAAUUAUGCCCAAGCCAAAGCUGCAACGGGCAAUACCAGUGAGGGUGAAGAGGUGAGCACCUACUUUUAUUUUAUUCAUCUUUUACUUAAAGGAUUAUACUAGGGUACCUACUUUUGAAGGCAUUUGAAUGUUUCUAUCUAAAAGCAUCCUUAUCUUUUUCUCACUUAAAUAAAAUGGUAAAGGGUAAAGGAUUAUUAGAGAUUUCUUUGUUCUUAGGUUACAUUAAAAACUAUAAUAAAAAUACACAUGUGGAUUUUAUAACUAAAUGUUUACCCUUUUUUGAUAACUUUUAUGGAUUAUACAAGGGGUGAUCAAAGUAUACAGUGAAAGUUUGAUCCCCGGUACAAAAAAAAAUACAGUGAAUAUUUAAAUUUAAAAAUGUAUUGUAGUGAAAGACACAUUAGCAUUAACCCCCCUCAAAACAGUCCCUGUUGCUUCAAACACACUUCUACCUCAUCAUUCUUGAAGCAGUUCUGGAACUCAUCUUUAUGAGUGUCUUUACAAGGGUAUGAUCAAAAAUAUGGUGAAGCCAGUUGCUAAGUGCUAUCCAACAGAAGAUCAUCUACCUUACUGACUGCGUCUGGCACCAUGUGACUUCUGGCUCUUCCCCAAAGUCAAAAUGACCAUGAAAGGUAAACAUUUUGAAUUGAUUCAGGACAUCGAGGCAGCCAUGACAGCACAACUAAAGACAUUCACCAAAAGAGAACUCUAGAACUGCUCCAGAAAGUGGUGAGAUGCUGGCAUUAAUGCGUUUGAAAUGAGCAGGAAGAUUUUGAGGGGAAUUGACAGCACUAUGCUUUUACUGUAAUCAACUUUUUAAAAUUUAAGCAUCCACUGUAUUUUUUGCUUAUGCCUUGAAUAUAAAUCAUACUCAUAUAAUCAGUACCCAGAUGAUGAAACAAUAGUAAAAACCCCAUAUCUCCUUUUUAAGUCAGUCUCACUCCCCUGGAUAACCCCUAUCCUGACUUCAAACUUUAUAGAUCGAUUUGUUUGAAUUUUUAAAAAUAAUUCAACUUAACUCUACAAUUCAGUUUUGUUGUUAAUCUCUAAGGCUACAGUGAUCAUCAGGCAAGCUGGUAAUUAUUACAAAACCAUCCUCACGUUUAUUCCCUUUCUUGCCUCUUGUCACAGGUGUUCCUCUUGAUCCAAAAUGAGAAGUUGAAAAAUGAUUACAUUUACCUCAGUUGGUUAGCUCGCUGCUGUGAGUCUUCUUUUAAACGUUACAACAGAAAUCCUCUUUUCUUUCUUGUUGCAUGACCUGUUUGAAAAUUACACUGUUUUUUAAUCUUUGUAUUUUUUUCUACACAAUGAGUAAGCACUGAGGUGAGACUUGUUAAUGCUAUUGCUAAGUGUUGCUGUCUUAGUUACUUUCUAAUCCCUAGGACACAAUACCCAACACCCACAACUUAAAGCAACCGAGGCUGAUUUUAGUACACAUUUUCAGCGCCUGAUCAGCUGGCUCAAAGGCAGAAAGGGUGGUAACGGGCCUGGGCAGAGGACAGCUGCUCAGCCCAUGAUGGCCAGGAAGGAGAGAGAGGGGAGAGGGAGAUGCUUUCCCAGGUCACCCCCCAGUCACUUACCUCUUCUGAGCAGGCCCCACCUCCUAACUGCACCUCCAGCUAUGGUUUGACCAGUGGAUCGAUCAGUCCACUGAGGAGUACAGUGCCCCACGAACAGUCACCUUCCAAAAGCCACCUCUGAGACCUGAGGCUCUGGGGGACAUUUAGAUCCAAACCAUAGCAGUUGUCACGUCAGUGUGUUGUGUGAGUUUACUCUGUGAUUGGUUUCACCAUUCAGCAUUGACCUUCCUGGUACAGGCCUGAAAGAUGUCAAGUUCUUUUGGCUUUGUUCAACU